rnacentral:tRNA from 3 species
CCGUUAGCUCAGUUGGUAGAGCAACUGACUCUUAAUCAGUGGGUCUAGGGUUCGAAUCCCUA